rnacentral:misc_RNA from 1 species
AAAUCAGUUACAUAAUUGCAGUCAUCAAAACUUUCAACAAUCAAUCCACCUCUAUAUACAACAUACAAAUCCUUUAACUCAACAAUUGCAUUGUCAUAUUAACACACAAAAAAGGAUGAGACAAGUUGAAAUGUAUACUUUACCCAUAAUUGCAGGCUGCGACUUGAAGACACUAAAUUAACUCAGCUAUUUUUGUUUUUUUGUUUGGUUUUUUCGUUUUGUUAUUUAUGUUUAGUGAUUUUCGUCAUAGUAGUCAUAGCGUAGUAAGGAUUCACUAUGGAGGUCCCUUACAAGUUAGAAGUGAUUGCUUUGACUACAAUCAUCAUUAAACUGGGUGUCUCAGUUUUCCCAUAUUCUGGCAAAAAUCAACCUCCAAAAUUUGGAGAUUAUGAAGCUCAAAGACAUUGGAUGGAAAUUACGGUUAACUUACCCAUACAGGAUUGGUAUAGAAAUACAACAGACAAUGAUUUAUUGUACUGGGGACUGGAUUACCCUCCUCUCACAGCAUAUCAAAGCUACCUAACUGGAUCGGUGGCUAAGAAAAUCAACCAAGACUAUGUAAAACUCCAUGUGUCUCAGGGAUUUGAAAACUUUGACCACCAAUAUUUCAUGAGGAUGUCCGUCCUUGUGUCUGAUUGUAUUUUCUUUGUCAGUGCACUUUAUUUUUACAUUAGAAGCUUGAAGAUGAGUAAUAAGUACAAAUGGGUUUUCUUUGCUUUGUCCUCACACUCUGGACUCACCCUUAUAGAUUAUGGUCAUUUUCAGUACAAUUGUGUUUCGUUGGGGUUGACCUUGUGGGCAAUCAUUUUUGUUUCUCAGGGAAAGAAUGUGUUAGCAGCAAUUGCCUUUUCAGCUGCCUUAAACUUUAAGCAGAUGGAGUUGUAUCAUGCAAUACUUCUAUUUGCUGGCUUCUAUUUGCUGGCUUCCUGUCAACCUAAAGGUUCCUCACUUCCCUCCCAACUAAAGAAUUUGGUCCAGAUUGGCGCUGCCACAGUGGCGACCUUUGCAAUCAUUUGGUAUCCAUUUCUUCAAAUUCAUGAUUGGCUUUUACAGCAAGUCAUCGUCAGACUCUUUAUUCCUUUUCAGCGUGGAAUCUUUGAAGACUAUGUCGCCAAUUUUUGGUGCACGCUAAAUGUUGUGAUCAAAAUCAAACGACUAUUAAACCCAACCUCAAUCGCCUCGGGAACUAUCACCUAGGCCAUGCCCGUGCCUGAAAGAAAAAGUCAGGACGUUGAUUCGAACGGAUUCGAAUGCAACGAGCACUAAGUACGGUCACAUUAUUGGAGGAAUGACCGUGUGCUUGGUUCGUGAUUUGGGGUCACAAGUGAUAGCUGCAAGCUGAUAUCACUCGAACCACUGCACCAACCCGACUAAGCAUGAUCGAAAAAAGCUGCAGCUCAUUAUGGCGUCAGUUUAGCUUUAAUGCUAAAUUUCGCAAACACGGUGAACUAGAUUGACAAUAAUAAAAAAUGAACUUUAUUCGUCA